rnacentral:rRNA from 1 species
GACGAACGCUGGCGGCGUGCUUAACACAUGCAAGUCGAACGGUGAAGCGCCUUCCUUUUUGGUGGGUGUGGAUGAGUGGCGAACGGGUGAGUAACACGUGAGUAACCUGCCCCCUUCUUCUGGAUAACCGCAUGAAAGUGUGGCUAAUACGGGAUAUUCUGGGUCUUUCGCAUGAUGGGUCUGGGAAAGAUAUUGUUUCGGUGGGGGAUGGGCUCGCGGCCUAUCAGCUUGUUGGUGGGGUGAUGGCCUACCAAGGCGUUGGGGGGUAGCCGGCGUGAGAGGGUGGACGGACAAAGGGGGAGAGAGGCACGACAGGGACUCAGAGGGGGGCAAGAGGGGGGGAAUAGGGAACAGGGGGGAAAAGCGGGAAGCGGGGGCGCGGGGGGGGGGGGGGAGGCGUGGGGGGGAUGAACGUCUUCGGGGGGUGAAGAGGGAUGGCCUGGUUUGGGGGGGGGGUGACGGGAGCGGGAAAAGAAGCGCCGGAUAACUACGUG